GACGAACGCUGGCGGCGUGCUUAACACAUGCAAGUCGAACGGAAAGGCCCUGCUUUUGUGGGGUGCUCGAGUGGCGAACGGGUGAGUAACACGUGAGUAACCUGCCCUUGACUUUGGGAUAACUUCAGGAAACUGGGGCUAAUACCGGAUAGGAGCUCCUGCUGCAUGGUGGGGGUUGGAAAGUUUCGGCGGUUGGGGAUGGACUCGCGGCUUAUAAGCUUGUUGGUGGGGUAGUGACUUACCAAGGCUUUGACGGGUAGCCGGCCUGAGAGGGUGACCGGCCACAUUGGGACUGAGAUACGGCCCAGACUCCUACGGGAGGCAGCAGGGGGGAAUAUUGCACAAUGGGCGGAAGCCUGAUGCAGCAACGCCGCGUGCGGGAUGACGGCCUUCGGGUUGUAAACCGCUUUCGCCUGUGACGAAGCGUGAGUGACGGUAAUGGGUAAAGAAGCACCGGCUAACUACGUG
rnacentral:rRNA from 1 species